AUUGAACGCUGGCGGCAUGCCUUACACAUGCAAGUCGAACGGCAGCACGGGAGCAAUCCUGGUGGCGAGUGGCGAACGGGUGAGUAAUGUAUCGGAACGUACCUUUCAGUGGGGGAUAACGUAGCGAAAGUUACGCUAAUACCGCAUAUUCUGUGAGCAGGAAAGCAGGGGAUCGCAAGACCUUGCGCUGAUUGAGCGGCCGAUAUCAGAUUAGCUAGUUGGUGAGGUAAAGGCUCACCAAGGCGGCGGUCUGUAGCGGGUCUGAGAGGAUGAUCCGCCACACUGGAACUGAGACACGGUCCAGACUCCUACGGGAGGCAGCAGUGGGGAAUUUUGGACAAUGGGCGCAAGCCUGAUCCAGCCAUGCCGCGUGAGUGAAGAAGGCCUCGGUUGU
rnacentral:rRNA from 1 species